CCUUUCUUUUUUAAUUUUUUUUUUCCAAUUGCCAGCCUCAAUACGACGUCGUUUCUGAGUUUUUCCUCAUCUCUCACAGAUCUCUUUCGCGUGUAUCAUCUUCCACCUCCAAUCAACCCACUCUGCCGUACUAUGCUUAACGUGUUUUCCUUCUCUUUCUACCCACUCUGUCGUCCUUCUUCAUCACCUUCCUUCCAAUCAACCCUAGCUGGCUUACUCUUUCCACCCACUUCUCACCAAUCCAUCAAUUGCAUCCUUUCUGAUUGAUCUGAUGAGGCUCCUUUCCGCCGCCGGUUGCUGUUUGCCAGACGAUUUGUAUAUGGUGGAACCAUUCACGGUUCUACAUCUCAAACUAUCCACUGUUCAUUCGUCAUUUUUGCACGUCUUCGCUGAUUUCGUCAAUACGUCGCCGGCCGCCGGUUCACAUUAGAGGCUUCUUUUGUUUCUUCAGAUCGAUUUGGCUAUAAAUAUCCCCUCAGUUCUCAUUCAACCACACUUCUCCCAAUUGGGUCAUCUCUGAUUCUCACCCAAGUUUGUGUGCGACACAGGAGGUUACAUCGCAUACUCAGAUUUAGAGGCAAAGUGGCAAACCUGAAACAAAAGCUGAAGAGGCCAAGGUUGCUAACACAGCAAAACCUGCUGCUGCUGCCGGUUCAUCAGCAAAACAAGUAAAGAUUGUUGAUCCAAAGAAAGAUGAGGAAGAGGAUGAAUCUUAUGAAUCAUCAUAGGAUGUGUCUGGUUACAGAGAUGAUCUUAUAAGUUCUGAUGGGGUAUUGUACUCACUCUGAGUUUAAAUCUCUUUUUUUCGUGUUUAUUACUGUAUGUGUGGGAUUUCAAGAUGCUUUUUUUAAAUCCAAUGUUCCCAAAUUGAUCAAACAUAAUGCUUUUACAAAAGUUAUUGGUAAUGAAGUUACAUUUCCUUUUUGAUUUUGAGUUACAAAAAAGCCGCCAGACGAUGCUUUUUUUAAAUUCAAUGUUCCUAAAUUGAUCAAACAUAAUGCUUUUACAAAAGAUAUUGGUAAUGAAGUCCUUCCUUUUUACAAAACAUAAUCCUUGUGUUUAUCUUCUCUAGCCUGAUUUUCCAUUACUUCAUUUGUGUGCAUAUAACGCGUGCUUGGUUUGCAUGAUGCAAGGAGACUGUCAAGAAUAUUUUUAGUCCUCACUUUGAGAAAGGACUCGAGUAUGUACCAUAUUAGCAUGUUCCACGCCUCGCACCAUAUUGUACCUAUACCUGCCAGCAAAGAAGAGAUGGAAGUUGAAGCAUCUUUUGUGAAGGGGGUUUCUACGCAAAGGAAAGUGUUUAAUUGAAGAGUGUGAGAUUGAUUUAUUGCUUUUAAAAAGUCAAUUUAUGAGACAGAGCAUUCAAGGGAGUUCAAGUGAUUUGGUUACCGGGUAUAUGGACUAUGGAGUGGAUGCCAUCAUAGAGCAGUGAAGAGGAAAAGAAGUAGGAACAAACUUCUACCAGAGAUAGAAUCAGUUGCUUUCUUGAUCUAGCCGCCGCUUGAUGUGUAAUUGAAGCUAACGUUGCCGCUGAUUAUGGUAGAAUCAAUCGCGUAUUGACAGCUCAAAUCUUCCACUGUUCAUAUGUGAUUUUUCCUCACGAGAACCCUAACUACUAUGGUUGAAUGCAUCAGCAAAGGUUGAAUCCUUUAGCAAAUGAUGAGGUUGAAACCAUGAUAGAGAAGCAUGGAAGAUCAGACCACGAUUUAUAAGGAGGUGGGAGAUGGUACCUACUGCUAAACCUUCUAAAUUUGCAACUUGUCUUGAUUGAUGCUAAGUAUGUUGCAACUGCUGUGACUUCAGUUCAUGAAAUGGAAAAUGGUUUCAAUCUAAAGAGGACCUUGCCAGCGCAGGAGCAACAAAGAGGCAUACUUGCUGUGUUUUGGUGCUGACCAAGCCUGCAAAGGGUGAAAUGAAACAAGGGGAACAUGAGAAACUAAAUUCAGAUUAUGAUCAAGUUGUGUCAGAUGUUACUGAGAUUACAGUUUCACUUUUUUGAAACAAGCACAAAUGUAUUUGUACUGUUGGCUCCAGUUGGAUUAGCAAUCUAUUGAUGUAUGGAUUUUGUUAUAACUUUAUGUGGCUCUACAUUUUGUUGCUAUGAAAGUUGUACUUCCCUUGCCUUGAUUAAAAAAACCCUACUCAACAUUGUAUGUGUUUGUUUGUUUUUUCUA